rnacentral:rRNA from 1 species
CCUACGGGUGGCAGCAGUGAGGAAUAUUGGUCAAUGGACGAGAGUCUGAACCAGCCAAGUAGCGUGAAGGAUGACUGCCCUAUGGGUUGUAAACUUCUUUUAUAUGGGAAUAAAAUGUUCCACGUGUGGGAUUUUGUAUGUACCAUAUGAAUAAGGAUCGGCUAACUCCGUGCCAGCAGCCGCGGUAAUACGGAGGAUCCGAGCGUUAUCCGGAUUUAUUGGGUUGAAAGGGAGCGUAGGGGGAUUGUUAAGUCAGUUGUGAAAGUUUGCGGCUCAACCGUAAAAUUGCAGUUGAAACUGGCAGGCUUGAGUACAGUAGAGGUGGGCGGAAUGCGUGGUGUAGCGGUGAAAUGCUUAGAUAUCACGAAGAACUCCGAUUGCGAAGGCAGCUCACUGGACUGCAACUGACACUGAGGCUCGAAAGUGUGGGUAUCAAACAGGAUUAGAUACCCGGGUAGUC